rnacentral:lncRNA from 1 species
GUGAGAAAAACACGGAGUACCCCACAAAUGUCGCCUUGUGCAGGAGCCAUGCCGGUCUUCUUUGUUUUGUUCCAAUUUCACUGUUUGUGCUGCAGAAGCAGAUAUGGAAAUGGGAAUUUUUGUAUGAUGUUUAGGCAUCUGAGAAGGCAACCACGGUACGAAUCUUGGGAUUUCCUGAAGUCUUUCUUCAAAUCUCUCUUCAGGUCUGCAAGCGGUCUGUGGUUGGACAUACAGCCUCUUCAUUUUCUUCUGCAUACAAAUGUGUGGACAAAGCAGAGACAAUCAAGGUCCAGCCAGCUCUCAGCCCUCCCUCAGUCAGCACCCAGCCAGACUUGAAACCCAGCUUGCCUUGGGAUUGAGUGUAGUCGUGCUUUUAACAGAGCUCUGCCGAAAGGAGUGUGUCGAGAAUAGAAAGGCAGUGUUUGGGGCUGGCCUGGCUCGUAUACUCCUCUCUGUUGUCUGACUGGGAGGCUGACGAGUCGUCUGCUGAAGAUGGAGGGACCUGGAUAUGGAAAUAACAGGAGCAGACAUUGGUGCCUUACACACCGCGGUGAAGGCGAAUGGUAGCCAUUGCUGCUUUCGGCACACCUUGUUUUUUCGCCAGUUCUGAAAGUGACACAGAGGAUGACAAAAGCUCGGAUUGCAGAAGAUGGAUGAAAGCCAUUUUAACUAGCACAACAGUUUGCGGCUACGAGAACGGCUCCGUGAGUGUAGAAGCCGCUCCUCACCAACCAUGCGGUCACGAUGCAUCUAACGAGACUGGGCACUAAUGGCCCUGGGAACAAUGAGGCAAAUUACCAAGUUCCACUAAAAUGUUUCUCCACUUAUCUUCAAUUAUUCAGACCCAAUCUAAUUUCCUUCAAAAUUAAAUGCGGUGGCUCCAGUUAACUUGUGCGACUGAACGUUUAACAACUGUCCCUGCACGUGACUUUGCUGAGAAAGGACGGGCAGGCUACUCCACAUCGGCUCUGAAACACAGCAGUUCCCUGGACAUGUUAAGACAGCGGGUCACAGAAGGCGCAUAGCUGGGCAUUGUCCCCGAAUGCUAAGACUUAAGGAGUCUCUAAACUACCCUCUUCCCAACUGUGCUGCCCUCCAGCCAUCUAACCGCUUCUUCAGCAGCUACCCCAAGCUCCUGGCCACUUUUGUCUAAACCACUAGGUACCUGGACACAGACAAAGCAAAGACCUGAGGUGAAAGUCUGGGAGGACAGAGCACUUAGGAGUAACAUGCACAUUCGGUUUUCACAGGCAGCUGUCACAGAGCUGUCACCCACAGCUGGAUGUCGGGGAGGGGGGCGCACUUCUGGGAUCUACAUCCAGGAGCCAGGCACAGCUAGUUGUCAGGGAAGAACGGUGAAUAGCUUGGUGCUCCUCCCAGCUGGGCUUCUGUGGACGUUAGGGGCCACUGACCUGAGUGCCUCCUAGUUCUCCUCUCCUUCUUUAUCUCCUGUUGCUUUUUCUGUAACCUGCUCUUUCCUGGUCUCUUUGUUGCCCUCUGGGGUCCCAGCUGCAUUAUCAUCUGUCUUUGGAAAAAUUGCAUUUAGUAGAACCAGAACUGUCCCAUUUAAUAGUGUUCCCGUGGGAACAACCCGCCUUAAUGAAGUUAUGAGUGUUUUGGGUGGUGUGACUUUUUCUUCAGAGGGCAUGAGUUGAUCUCAUCAGAAGGGACGAUCUACUUGUUUUAGUCUUCAAAGGCCUGUGCAGCCCUCACACGCAGCCAUUUCUCUGCUUUCUAUGGAAGAGGCCCACACUAAAUGAAUAAUUGCAAGUCAUUUGGCAUUAGAUUAACAUUAUGAUUUAUUUUAUCAAUUGCUAUUAGUUUGUACUUGCAGUAUUUCCCUAGAGUACACAACAAACUCUUCUAAGUCCAACUAGAGACACCUAGGGCUGGAGAUGAAGCCAAAGGGAAAUGAAGACCGUUCCCAAAGUAAAAAAUUCAACAUGCAGUCAGUCAGUACGCACUGCUGUCUUCCUGUAGCCAGCCAAAGAGAGUUUCGAGGGUUUUGGUGUGGAGGUGCCAGCUUGUAACCCCGACUCAGGAUCCAGGGCACAAGAUUGCCUUUAGUUCAGACCCAGGCGUGUCACCCUAAGAAGCCCAGCAAGGGCUGCACAGCAAGACCUCAUCUGAGAAAACAGACAAACAAACAAAGAAAACCAGAGGAAACAGCAUAAAGAAUUGGGGAGGACCAGCAGCCCUGGCUUCCCGCUGGACGUACUGUGCCUUUUGGUGGCCAAAUGCCCUUUGUCCAGUGUGGAACUUUGUCAACCAUGGCCACUGCUGUGAUGGCUCACAGUGUGCCAAGAACAAUACUUAAGACCUCUACAGGGUUUAUCUCAUUUAACCCCCAUGGGACCUGCUGUGUCUGUUUUCAAGAGGAGGUUCAGAGAGGUUGAUUAUCCCACCCAAAGUCACAUGACCUCUCGUGACCUCAGCUUUGAAGAUCUGCUGCCUGUCUUCUUCUUCCUCUUCCUUCUUCUUCUGCCCUUCUGGUUUUCUGAGACAAGGUCUUACCUGUAGCCCAGGCUGUCCUGGAACUCACUAUGUAGACCAGGUUGGUCUCAAACUCUCCUGGGUGCUGGAAUCAAAGGCGUGCCACCAUGCCCAGCUGCUUGCGGCUUGUGUUCCUAAAUCACCCUCCCUCCCCCACACCAUUGCCUCUGGUGAAGACCGACUGUCAGGCCACGAUUUCUUUGUAGAAAAAUAAACUGGGAACUUCUGGGCAUUUAAAAAGUGGAUCUGAGUGCCACGUUGGAUGUGAAGAAAGCCAGAGUUGUUAUGGUUGUGUUCCCCGGCCUGAGAAAUGAACUGGCUCCUUUCACCAGGACGGUCUGAGGAACAAUGAAGCUACAAACGACAGCGUUUUGUAACACGAAAAAUAAAAGACCCAGAGACUGAUAUUGGGGUUCAAGCUUCAAGCUGAAGAUCAGAAAAACAAAGCAACUGGCCACUAGCUCUCACCUCUAGCUCAGGCUGAAAGGGCUGAUCCACAUACGAGCUCUUCACCAAGUCUCAAACUGCUGCCUCUCCUCAGCGUGGCUGGA